GAAAAACAAAUAUCAAGUUUUCACAGUCUUGAUGUGAAAAUCUUGGAUUUUUGGUGGAAAAAUCAUCCCCUUUCUGGAUACGAAGACCUCGGAUAUCGUCGCUUUUCGAUUCAGGACGAAGAUAAUCGCCUCGCGCGGCUUUCCCGGAGUUCAGGGGGUCGUCCUGGAAGUCAAGAGCCGCACACACGCGAGUAACCGAGCAUCCCCCGGGGGCGGGGUGAAGGAAAGGGCUGCUUUCGGACGUUUUUCCUCCUGACUUCGUCAGCAGACAGCUUUUCUAGACGGAUUCACGUUGAGUCGUAGCUCAUUAUUAUUUCAGGAUAAAAACACGAGAGCGAAUCUGCGAAGGGCCAGGAGUUUCUGUUCGCAUGGCGACUAAGUGCCCAUGCAGCCUGUUCCAAGGGAGAUGGAAAUUCGAGGAAGAGUCGUCGAGGGUUGUCUAACCGGGAGAGGCUUCGGCCGGGAGCGUCAUUAAUUUCCCGUUCGAAUGGACGAUAAUCCAU